AGCGAACGCUGGCGGCAGGCCUAACACAUGCAAGUCGAACGAACCCUUCGGGGUUAGUGGCGGACGGGUGAGUAACACGUGGGAACGUGCCUUUAGGUUCGGAAUAACUCAGGGAAACUUGUGCUAAUACCGAAUGUGCCCUUCGGGGGAAAGAUUUAUCGCCUUUAGAGUGGCCCGCGUCUGAUUAGCUAGUUGGUGAGGUAAUGGCUCACCAAGACUACGAUCAGUAGCUGGUCUGAGAGGAUGACCAGCCACAUUGGGACUGAGACACGGCCCAAACUCCUACGGGAGGCAGCAGUGGGGAAUCUUGCGCAAUGGGCGAAAGCCUGACGCAGCCAUGCCGCGUGGAUGAUGAAGGUCUUAGGAUUGUAAAAUCCUUUCACCGGUGAAGAUAGUGACUGUAGCCGGAGAAGAAGCCCCGGCUAACUUCGUGCCAGCAGCCGCCGUAAAAC
rnacentral:rRNA from 1 species